UCCGAUAUGGUGUAGUGGCUAACAUUAUCGCCUCUCAUUUGCAUGACGUCUCUAAUGUCCUUGGACGCGAUAGCCCGGGGUUCGAUUCCCCGUGUCGGAA